UUACGGCCAUAUUACGUUGAAACACCGGUUUUCAUACGAUCACCGAAGUUAAGCAACUUCAAGCUUUGUCCGUACUUAGAUGGGUGACCACUUGGGAAUAGCAGUUGCU